UGUACUUCAUUAUUUUAAAAUUAAUUGUUGUCAGUAAAAUAAAUUACCCGACUCCCAGUUCUCUCUUUCUGUGUUUUUUACUUAUUUAUAAGAUGAAGGCAACAAUUUAGCUGGCACGUUACUGAGUACCCUUAAUGUGGAGAUGAGAUGUACAAAGCAACUAGACGAAAUGUAUGUGGAAACUGUAUAGCAAAAGAUGAAAAGCCCGAUGAUAUCACAAAGUCUUUUAUAUGCGGAUCGCUGCUGGUCCCUUCAAGUCGCAAUUUUGCGAUAAAAAUCGCAAGAAAACUCAUUGAAAGCGGUAUAGAAGGUGCAUUAAAUUUACAUCACUGGUAUACUAACGUCGUAUUCAUAUAUGGAACUUGUGAAUUC